rnacentral:rRNA from 1 species
UACGAAGGGUGCAAGCGUUACUCGGAAUUACUGGGCGUAAAGCGUGCGUAGGUGGUUUGUUAAGUCUGUUGUGAAAGCCCCGGGCUCAACCUGGGAAUGGCAAUGGAUACUGGCAAGCUAGAGUGCGGUAGAGGGUAGUGGAAUUCCCGAGUGUAGAGGUGAAAUUCGUAGAUAUUGGGAAGAACACCGGUGGCGAAGGCGGCGUCACUGGGCGUCAAUUACGUA